rnacentral:rRNA from 1 species
AGAGUUUGAUCCUGGCUCAGAACGAACGCUGGCGGCAAGCUUAACACAUGCAAGUCGAACGGACCAUACGCGCAGCUUGCUGCGUGUAUGGUUAGUGGCAGACGGGUGAGUAAUGCAUAGGAAUCUGCCUAGUAGUAUAGGAUAGCCACUAGAAAUGGUGGGUAAUACUGUAUAAUCCCUGCGGGGGAAAGAUUUAUCGCUACUAGAUGAGCCUAUGUCAGAUUAGCUAGUUGGUGGGGUAAUGGCCCACCAAGGCUGUGAUCUGUAGCUGGUCUGAGAGGAUGAUCAGCCACACUGGAACUGAGACACGGUCCAGACUCCUACGGGAGGCAGCAGUGGGGAAUAUUGGACAAUGGGCGCAAGCCUGAUCCAGCUAUGCCGCGUGAGUGAGGAAGGCCUUAGGGUUGUAAAACUCUUUCA